rnacentral:rRNA from 1 species
GACGAACGCUGGCGGCGUGCCUAAUACAUGCAAGUUGAGCGCUGAAGGUUGGUACUUGUACCGACUGGAUGAGCAGCGAACGGGUGAGUAACGCGUGGGGAAUCUGCCUUUGAGCGGGGGACAACAUUUGGAAACGAAUGCUAAUACCGCAUAAAAACUUUAAACACAAGUUUUAAGUUUGAAAGACGCAAUUGCAUCACUCAAAGAUGAUUCCGCGUUGUAUUAGCUAGUUGGUGAGGUAAAGGCUCACCAAGGCGAUGAUACAUAGCCGACCUGAGAGGGUGAUCGGCCACAUUGGGACUGAGACACGGCCCAAACUCCUACGGGAGGCAGCAGUAGGGAAUCUUCGGCAAUAGACGAAAGUCUGACCGAGCAACGCCGCGUGAGUGAAGAAGGUUUUCGGAUCGUAAAACUCUGUUGGUAGAGAAGAACGUUGGUGAGAGUGGAAAGCUCAUCAAGUGACGGUAACUACCCAGAAAGGGACGGCUAACUACGUG